rnacentral:rRNA from 1 species
CCUGAGAAACCCAAAAGAUCGAAUGGGAGAUUCACCGUCAGCGUGGCUGGCUUCCGUGCGGUUCGCGAUGGCCGGGACCUCGGUCUCGCGUCACGCGUCCGCUGCGGCAUGUCCGGCUACGUCGGCGUGCACUUCUCCCCUAGUAGGACGUCGCGACCCGUUGGGUGUCGGACCGAUGGCCGUUUGGUCGCCUGUCUCGUCGCGUUCACGCGUGCACGGGGCAGACCGAAAUGGUCGAGCGUCCGGCUGCCCGGCGGUAUAGAACGCUAUUGAACGGUAAUGGGCCGCAUUAAGUGCGUCCAGGCUCGUCGGCAGGCUCGUCUCGCCCGGAUUUACGGACCUAGCGCCGUUGCCGGGUGCUUGGCGUGGCCGUUAGUCGACGAUGUCCUCGGACUGGCUCUAAAAUUCGAAAGGAUUACCGGUCGGCGACGCUACUGCUUUGGGUACUUUCAGGACCCGUC